rnacentral:rRNA from 1 species
GGAAGGCAGCAGGCGCGCAAAUUACCCAAUCCCUUACUCUAGAAGGUAGUGACAAGAAAUAGCGAUUCCGGGUCUUUAUAGGUUCUGGUUAAUUGGCAAAGGARCGUAUU